UGGGGAAUCUUCCGCAAUGGACGAAAGUCUGACGGAGCAACGCCGCGUGAGUGAAGACGGCCUUCGGGUUGUAAAGCUCUGUGAUCCGGGACGAAAGAGCCUGAGGUGAAUAGCCUAAGGAAGUGACGGUACCGGAAAAGCAAGCCACGGCUAACUACGUGCCAGCAGCCGCGGUAAUACGUAGGUGGCAAGCGUUGUCCGGAAUUAUUGGGCGUAAAGCGCGCGCAGGCGGCUUCCUAAGUCCAUCUUAAAAGUGCGGGGCUUAACCCCGUGAUGGGAUGGAAACUGGGAAGCUGGAGUAUCGGGGAGGAAAGUGGAAUUCCUAGUGUAGCGGUGAAAUGCGUAGAGAUUAGGAAGAACACCGGUGGCGAAGGCGACUUUCUGGACGAAAACUGACGCUGAGGCGCGAAAGCGUGGGGAGCAAACAGG
rnacentral:rRNA from 1 species